UGUAGCUUUGCUUUUGUUUAUCCUGAUUGCUUUCUCCCUCCUAAUGUGUGUCACCUGUGUCUCAUUGUCUUGCCUAUUUAGUCCUUGUCUUCCCAGUCACAUGUGUCAGUGUGUUGUAUUGUCUUGUGGUUUCAUGCCAGGAAUGAUUUUGUCACAUCUUGCCUUGCCAUGAAUUUUCCCUCAGUUUUUUCCGUUGAUCCCAUGCCACACUAAGUAUGCAGAUGGCUCGAUAAGGACCGGAUGGUUCGCAGCAGCUGCUCUGGUACCCCAUACUCCCACAGUCACCCCCCCAGAGGACUCCACAAGGGACACAGUUGGAGCCUUGUUCAAGUCCACAAAACACAUGUAAAAUGGAUCAGUAAACUCACAUAAUCAGCCAGCUAUUCCACCAUAAGAACCAAAGAGUUUCUGGAUGGAACCCUUUCAAGGAGUCAGCACAUACAAGCCCCUGCCUUUACCUGCCACCUGGCACAGAGCGCACCUGGCCCCAAAGCCUAUCCCCAAAGAAUCACCACCUUAACGCAGUGGAGGUGUUUGUGUGCUCCUUCCUGUGGUCCUGGCAGCUGUGUUGUCAGGGGCAGGCCACACUAGGAGCAAAGUCCCCGAAUGAACAGGCCACAAAAGAGCUGCAGCACUUCGCCCCAAAUAGAAAAGAAUCAGUACCUGGCAGGAAUCUUUGCCACCCAUCGGAGAUCCAGCACACAGCAUGUUUGAGGUUGUGCUCACUUAACACCACCUUCAUUAUGCUGCUCCUGAGGGCCACAAAUACACAUCAGCUCCAGUUCUCAGCUUGAACCUUGGGACAUGAGGGCAUCUGGGAUGGGAACACCUUUGCACGGUCAUCAUCAACGUCCCCCACAUUAUGGACAGAAGAAAUGUUCCUAACCUUGUUGAUGGGAUAAAAUUCACUUAAACUAAUUUGCCGUCAUGCGAAUUUUCUUGCUUGUUUAUUAGUGGAUAUAAUCAGAAAAAAAAAUCACAGCUUCAGUUUGAUUUACCUGUUUCCCUUUUGUUUGAACAAAGAACGCAGAUUAAAACCAGGUGAAUGACGUUAUCAUUUUACUCAUUAAUUGUUUUUUAAAUCCAUAUGGAUUAAGCGAUAAGUGAAAUCUUGUUUUUCUCUCUGGCUGUACUUUCUGUGCUCCUCUUUACGACGGGCUGCCAGCAGUUCACAGGCUACGAACCCACUGAACACGUUUUUACACUGUAAAAAAUGUAGCAUGGGAAUGGAUUAUUCAGUGAUUUACACAUAGACCUGAACUAGUAGCUAUCAAUAAAUCAGUUACUUCAUAAUAGUAAAACGUGAUCUUGAUAGAGCUACUAUUACCACAUCUACGAUCCAUAAGCUCUUGUUUGGAAAGCCCCUCAAAACAAGUAGUUCACAUUUAGUUUAUGAAAUCGCUCAGAGCUAAAACCCAAAGGGGCAGCAAAUCACAUUUGAGAGGAUGGGGUGAAAUUAAUCGUUUGACAAAAUUAAUUUUUUGUCAGUUUACUUCUUUGUCAAUGGAUUUAGAUGGGUGAAAAACUACAUUAAGGCACUGAUCAGAUUU